GUCGGUCUUUGAUGUACUCUCCUGCUCUGUUACUUUCUCAAUCCUUCUCCCGCUUCUCUUUCUUUAUGCGUUCGUUCAAAGUGCAAACCGCGUCUUACGGGGGCUUUUUGGUCAUUUCCUUCCUCUAGAACCUUCCCCUUUCGGAACGGUUUUGUAAUGACCUGAUCACUGUACUUUUGUUGCAGAAAAGUAAGUAAUGGAGGACAACAGCGAAGAGAAAUUGAUAGAGGUGGCGCGUCACAUAGCCAAGACACUAGGCCACAACGAGUACAUGACUGAUGAUAUUUUGCAGAUUUUUUCCAAGUUCGACGGUAGGUUCUCUCGCGAUAAGUUGUCGGAGAAAAUGUCCGGAGCUGCCGGUGACGAUUUGAGAGCCCGUGCCUCUCUCGAACAGACCCUUGAGUCUUUGGAACGUCAGAUCUCUCAGUUCGUGGUCGCCGAGCAUCCGAUUUGGUCUGAUUCCGUUGAUUCAUCUGCCUUCCUUGACUCCAUCGACGAAUUGAUCGCCACUUUUCGAUACUGGAAUCCCAUGGCCAACGCGGAUCAAUCCAUCGGCGCGUGUUUGGUACGCGCCGAGGACUUCAUGCAGCAAGCAAUUUUUCGGCUGGAGGAGGAGUUCAGGCUCUUGAUGGAACGUGGUUGCGAGUCGUUUGAACUGGCGAGGCCGUAUGGCAACGGAGAUUCAACGGAAAACGUAUUGUUUGACUCUGAUGACGACGACGAAGCGAUUAUCACCAACGGUGAGGAUCACAAUCAGAUUCCUGUGGCGCAACCGCUUACCCGCUACGAUAUUGUGAUCGACGCGCUUCCGUC
rnacentral:misc_RNA from 1 species